CCUACGUGAGGCAGCAGUGAGGAAUAUUGGUCAAUGGGCGAGAGCCUGAACCAGCCAAGUCGCGUGAAGGAUGACGGCCCUGCGGGUUGUAAACUUCUUUUGUCAGGGAGCAAUUUGGUCCACGCGUGGGCUUAGCUGUGGUACCUGAAAAAAAAGCAUCGGCUACCUCCGUGCCAGCAGCGGCGGUAAUACGGGGGAUGGGAGCGGUAUCCGGAUUUAUUGGGUUUAAAGGGUGCGUAGGCGGAAUAUCAAGUCAGCGUUAAAACUUCGGGUCUCACCCCCGUCGUGCCGUUGAAACUGAUGGUCGUGAGGGGGCGAGAAGUAUGCGGAAUGCGUGGUGUAGCGGUGAAAUGCAUAGAUAUCACGCAGAACUCCGAUUGCGAAGGCAGCAUACCGGCGCCCAACUGACGCUGAAGCACGAAAGCGGGGGUAUCGAACAGGAUUAGAUACCCGGGUAGUC
rnacentral:rRNA from 1 species